GCGGAUCUGGUGCAUGGUGCACCGCUGCAUUUCAUUUGCGGAUUCGGAGAGAAAACUGAAGCAACUGUCGGGGUUCGACUCCCCGCGUCCGCA